rnacentral:rRNA from 1 species
GACGAACGCUGGCGGCGUGCCUAACACAUGCAAGUCGAGCGAUGAAGCUCCUUCGGGAGUGGAUUAGCGGCGGACGGGUGAGUAACACGUGGGUAACCUGCCUCAUAGAGAGGGAUAGCCUUCCGAAAGGAAGAUUAAUACCUCAUAAGAUUGUAGUUUCGCAUGAAACGGCAAUAAAAGGAGCAAUCCGCUAUGAGAUGGACCCGCGUCGCAUUAGCUAGUUGGUAAGGUAAUGGCUUACCAAGGCGACGAUGCGUAGCCGACCUGAGAGGGUGAUCGGCCACAUUGGGACUGAGACACGGCCCAGACUCCUACGGGAGGCAGCAGUGGGGAAUAUUGCACAAUGGGGGAAACCCUGAUGCAGCAACGCCGCGUGAGUGAUGACGGUCUUCGGAUUGUAAAACUCUGUCUUUGGGGACGAUAAUGGCGGUACCCAAGGAGGAAGCCACGGCUAACUACGUGCCAGCAGCCGCUGUAACAC